GACGAACGCUGGCGGCGUGCCUAAUACAUGCAAGUUGAGCGCUGAAGGUUGGUACUUGUACCAACUGGAUGAGCAGCGAACGGGUGAGUAACGCGUGGGGAAUCUGCCUUUGAGCGGGGGACAACAUUUGGAAACGAAUGCUAAUACCGCAUAACAACUUUAAACACAAGUUUUAAGUUUGAAAGAUGCAAUUGCAUCACUCAAAGAUGAUCCCGCGUUGUAUUAGCUAGUUGGUGAGGUAAAGGCUCACCAAGGCGAUGAUACAUAGCCGACCUGAGAGGGUGAUCGGCCACAUUGGGACUGAGACACGGCCCAAACUCCUACGGGAGGCAGCAGUAGGGAAUCUUCGGCAAUGGAAGAAAGUCUGACCGAGCAACGCCGCGUGAGUGAAGAAGGUUUUCGGAUCGUAAAACUCUGUUGGUAGAGAAGAACGUUGGUGAGAGUGGAAAGCUCAUCAAGUGAGGUAACUACCCAGAAAGGGACGGCUAACUACGUG
rnacentral:rRNA from 1 species